rnacentral:rRNA from 1 species
GCCGAGCGGUAGAGAUCUUUCGGGAUCUUGAGAGCGGCGUACGGGUGCGGAACACGUGUGCAACCUGCCUUUAUCUGGGGGAUAGCCUUUCGAAAGGAAGAUUAAUACCCCAUAAUAUACUGGAUGGCAUCAUUCGGUAUUGAAAACUCCGGUGGAUAGAGAUGGGCACGCGCAAGAUUAGAUAGUUGGUGAGGUAACGGCUCACCAAGUCUACGAUCUUUAGGGGGCCUGAGAGGGUGAUCCCCCACACUGGUACUGAGACACGGACCAGACUACUACGGGAGGCAGCAGUGAGGAAUAUUGGACAAUGGGUGAGAGCCUGAUCCAGCCAUCCCGCGUGAAGGACGACGGCCCUAUGGGUUGUAAACUUCUUUUGUAUAGGGAUAAACCUACCCUCGUGAGGGUAGCUGAAGGUACUAUACGAAUAAGCACCGGCUAACUCCGUGCCAGCAGCCGCGGUAAUACGGAGGGUGCAAGCGUUAUCCGGAUUUAUUGGGUUUAAAGGGUCCGUAGGCGGAUCUGUAAGUCAGUGGUGAAAUCUCACAGCUUAACUGUGAAACUGCCAUUGAUACUGCAGGUCUUGAGUGUUGUUGAAGUAGCUGGAAUAAGUAGUGUAGCGGUGAAAUGCAUAGAUAUUACUUAGAACACCAAUUGCGAAGGCAGGUUACUAAGCAACAACUGACGCUGAUGGACGAAAGCGUGGGGAGCGAACAGGAUUAGAUACCCUGGUAGUCCACGCCGUAAACGAUGCUAACUCGUUUUUGGAGCGCAAGCUUCAGAGACUAAGCGAAAGUGAUAAGUUAGCCACCUGGGGAGUACGAACGCAAGUUUGAAACUCAAAGGAAUUGACGGGGGCCCGCACAAGCGGUGGAUUAUGUGGUUUAAUUCGAUGAUACGCGAGGAACCUUACCAAGGCUUAAAUGGGAAAUGACAGGUUUAGAAAUAGACUUUUCUUCGGACAUUUUUCAAGGUGCUGCAUGGUUGUCGUCAGCUCGUGCCGUGAGGUGUUAGGUUAAGUCCUGCAACGAGCGCAACCCCUGUCACUAGUUGCCAUCAUUAAGUUGGGGACUCUAGUGAGACUGCCUACGCAAGUAGAGAGGAAGGUGGGGAUGACGUCAAAUCAUCACGGCCCUUACGCCUUGGGCCACACACGUAAUACAAUGGCCGGUACAGAGGGCAGCUACACUGCGAAGUGAUGCAAAUCUCGAAAGCCGGUCUCAGUUCGGAUUGGAGUCUGCAACUCGACUCUAUGAAGCUGGAAUCGCUAGUAAUCGCGCAUCAGCCAUGGCGCGGUGAAUACGUUCCCGGGCCUUGUACACACCGCCCGUCAAGCCAUGGAAGUCUGGGGUACCUGAAGUCGGUGACCGUA